GACAAUUUAAAUUGUUGACAAUCUGGUCAAGGCAAAAAAUAUUCAAAGCUGGACAGGAAAAGACAAAAAUGUCGAACUCGAAUUACGUUAAAAGACAUUUUUCAAAAUAUUACUUUAACAAGUGAAUGGGAAACCAAAUGACUUUUCAGUUAGCUUCUUUCAAGGGAAACCCUUGAAUGGACAAAAUGUUGGAUAUGAGAGCAAAUUGUUGAUUAACCUUUGGUAAAACAUUUCAAUUGUUUCCAUUCUGGUAUUCAUUUUCUGUUUUCGAUCAUCAUGAUGAUUGAAUCAUUGAUAAUUCGCCUCUUUUACUCGAAAUAAUGUUCAACUCUUUUCUUUCCUCACGUUAAGUUCGGAAGUUGCUCAGAUAAUUUUAAUGUUUCCAUUCAUUUCCUUUUUCAUUAUUUGAAAACUUUGCCUUCCGUUGCUCCUUUAAUGGGUAAAACAUAUUAUUAUUAUUAUCCAAUGUUUAUCAUUAUGACCUUUAAGAAUCUGUUCAACUGUCUUUUCAAAUGGAAAUGCCAUUUCAAUUCAAGAUUUAACCGGAAAUUUACAUCAAUCAUAUUUUUGAUGAGAAAAUAAGAGUUGAGAAAAAAUGUUCCAAACACAAUUUCGAAUUGACUUUCGUUUUGACUUUAUUCAACCCAAUCGAAUGUUUUUUUUCUUCAAUUCAUUAGAUGCGUUUGAAUCAUCCAAUGGAUGCAAUAAUUGGAAAGACAAUUGGAUCAAAGUGUAAUCAUUGUCGGUUUGCAUUAUGAUAAUCUGCGUCUUUACGGUCAAUUUGAGUAAAAAAAACUAUCAUUUCACUUUAAAGGAUAACAAAUUUAAGCCCAAUUUGAUUUUACUGAAUAUAUAAGCACUUACUAAAUAUUAAUUUAUUUUGAUCACCUGAACCAAUGGCCUUAUCCAUGUAUACCUAUGCUAAUUUCAAAACAAAUACAAUAAAAUUUAACUCGAGCUGACAUUUAAAUAACCUUCAAGAUACCAGCUAAGGUGAGUAAAGAGUAAAAGUUGAUUUGAUCAUUCGCAGGUGAAUUACAUCGUAUCAUAAUCUUUAACUUUUACAGUGUUAGCUGAAUUCAAAGAAUGAGUUUCUAUUGUCAUCAAUAAUGAUAUUUAUUCAGAUGUAAAUUAAUAAGUAAAAAUGAGUAACCAAGCAAUUAAGAGUCGGUUACCAAAAUGCUUCAAUACAAGGAAGGAUAUCAGUUCAAGUUUCAAGCUUGUCAAGUUUUUCAUUAUUUCGAUUACCUAAAACUACAAAAAUAAGUCGAAAUGCAAUUGACAAAAAUCGUUUCUCUCAUCUUGCUAAUUGCUCUAUUCACUUUCAUUGGUUUAAAAAUGGUCCGCGCACAAGAGACAGCUCUAGGUGCUUUAGGUGGAGCUCUUACCGGUGCGAUUGGAAAUGAAAUCGAUAUGGUUGGAGAUGAAAUCGGUAUGGCUGGAGAUGAACCUCUUGUGUUCGGAGAACCUGAGUAUUCUUAAUGAUGUAAAUCAUAAAUAAACUAUGAAAAACUAACCAUAGUGGAUUGGACAGUAUAUUUUCUGACUAUUAAAGAUAGCUUAUUAUACAAAAAAUAAAAUAGGAUAAAUCACAAA